rnacentral:tRNA from 1 species
GGAAAGGUGACCGAGAGGCCGAAGGUGCUCGCCUGCUAAGUGAGUGUAGGUGUUAUAGCCUACCGAGGGUUCGAAUCCCUCCCUUUCCGCCA